CCUACGGGUGGCAGCAGUGGGGAAUAUUGCACAAUGGGGGGAACCUUGAUGCAGCAACGCCGCGUGGGUGAAGAAGUACUCCGGUAUGUAAAGCCCUGUCAGCAGGGAAGAAAAUGACGGUACCUGACCAAGAAGCCCCGGCUAACUACGUGCCAGCAGCCGCGGUAAUACGUAGGGGGCAAGCGUUAUCCGGAUUUAUUGGGUGUAAAGGGAGCGUAGACGGCAAGGCAAGUCUGGAGUGAAAGCCCGUGGCCCAACCACGGGACUGCUUUGGAAACUGUGUUGCUGGAGUGCAGGAGGGGUAAGCGGAAUGCGUAGUGUAGCGGUGAAAUGCGUAGAUAUUAGGAGGAACUCCGAUGGCGAAGGCAGCAUACUGGACUGUAACUGACGUUGAAGCUCGAAGGCGUGGGUAGCGAACAGGAUUAGAUACCCGUGUAGUC
rnacentral:rRNA from 1 species